CAGUCGCCACGGUAAUACGAAGGGGGCUAGCGUUGCUCGGAAUGACUGGGCGUAAAGGGCGCGUAGGCGGCGGCCAAAGUCAGGCGUGAAAUUCCCGGGCUCAACCUGGGGGCUGCGUUUGAUACUUGGUUGCUUGAGUGGGGAAGAGGGUCGUGGAAUUCCCAGUGUAGAGGUGAAAUUCGUAGAUAUUGGGAAGAACACCGGUGGCGAAGGCGGCGACCUGGUCUGUAACUGACGCUGAGGAGCGAAAGCGUGGGGAGCGAACAGGAUUAGAUACCCCCGUAGUCCCUGUCUCUUAUAA
rnacentral:rRNA from 1 species